rnacentral:rRNA from 1 species
CAUGCUUUACACAUGCAAGUCGAACGAAGUUAUGUAGCUUGCUAUAUGACUUAGUGGCAUACGGGUGAGUAACACGUGGGGAUUUGCCUAAUGGUACGGAAUAACUGUUGGAAACGACAGCUAAUACCGUAUAGUAUCCGAGGAUUAAAGAUUUAUCGCCAUUAGAUAAGCCCGCGUAAGAUUAGCUAGUUGGUAGGGUAAUGGCCUACCAAGGCGACGAUCUUUAGCUGGCCUGAGAGGGUGAUCAGCCACACUGGGACUGAGACACGGCCCAGACUCCUACGGGAGGCAGCAGUGGGGAAUAUUGGACAAUGGGCGCAAGCCUGAUCCAGCAAUGCCGCGUGAGUGAAGAAGGCCUUAGGGUUGUAAAGCUCUUUUAGUAGGGAAGAUAUUGACGGUACCUGCAGAAAAAGCACCGGCUAACUUCGUGCCAGCAGCCGCCGUAACAC